rnacentral:misc_RNA from 1 species
AGAUUUCUGAAAUUAUUGUUUGAUUGCCAGAUUUUUUUUUUUGGGGCUUGGCAAGUCAUGCAUCUUAACGUUAUUUACGUAUGUGUGAAAGGAGCUGUAGACUUCUGUCAAUAAUCGGGUUUAGUAUUUUGAGGUCACUGCUGGAAAAACUCAUUUCCCCCUAUUCUUUUUAAAAUUUUUUUAACUCUGAAAUUUUUCCUUUCUUUUUUGUUCCCUUUUCAUUUGCGCCAUAUUCCCAUUUUUCAAGCAUUGGUUUGCGCUGACAAAGCUCUACC